CUCCUGGAUGGAUUUGUGAGAAGCAGAGCCUCUCCUCCAAGCCAGAGAAGCCAUUGUGUACCAGCUCGCCCUAUUAGCAUACCAUGUGCCCAGGAGUAAACAGGGACACAGGAGAGAAUUAAGCUGACACCAGGAGACACAGCUGACACUGGGGAGAAGUGGUGAAGACAGCAUCCUGGAAGAGGUGAGACUACUGUCUCUGAAGUUACUACAACUCUUCCAUUAAUUUUGUGAGCUUCCAUCGUUUCCUACAUGAACAUUUAUUAAAAUAUUUCCAAUGCAGACUAUGGAGAGAUAGAGAAGAGAUAAG
rnacentral:lncRNA from 1 species